rnacentral:rRNA from 1 species
GAACCAGACUCCUACGGGAGGCAGCAGUGAGGAAUAUUGGUCAAUGGGCGCGAGCCUGAACCAGCCAAGUCGCGUGAGGGAUGACGGCCCUACGGGUUGUAAACCUCUUUUGUCGGGGAGCAAAUUCCGCCACGUGUGGCGGAGUCGAGAGUACCCGAAGAAAAAGCAUCGGCUAACUCCGUGCCAGCAGCCGCGGUAAUACGGAGGAUGCGAGCGUUAUCCGGAUUUAUUGGGUUUAAAGGGUGCGUAGGCGGAUUUUUAAGUCAGCGGUAAAAUGUCCGGGCUCAACCCGGGCCGGCCGUUGAAACUGGGGAUCUUGAGUGGGCGAGAAGUAUGCGGAAUGCGUGGUGUAGCGGUGAAAUGCAUAGAUAUCACGCAGAACUCCGAUUGCGAAGGCAGCAUACCGGCGCUCAACUGACGCUCAUGCACGAAAGUGUGGGUAUCGAACAGGAUUAGAUACCCCGGUAUC